rnacentral:rRNA from 1 species
UUUUCCGGUAGACGAUGGGGAUGCGUUCCAUUAGAUAGUAGGCGGGGUAACGGCCCACCUAGUCAACGAUGGAUAGGGGUUCUGAGAGGAAGGUCCCCCACAUUGGAACUGAGACACGGUCCAAACUCCUACGGGAGGCAGCAGUGAGGAAUAUUGGUCAAUGGGCGAUGGCCUGAACCAGCCAAGUAGCGUGAAGGAUGACUGCCCUAUGGGUUGUAAACUUCUUUUAUAAAGGAAUAAAGUCGGGUAUGCAUACCCGUUUGCAUGUACUUUAUGAAUAAGGAUCGGCUAACUCCGUGCCAGCAGCCGCGGUAAUACGGAGGAUCCGAGCGUUAUCCGGAUUUAUUGGGUUUAAAGGGAGCGUAGAUGGAUGUUUAAGUCAGUUGUGAAAGUUUGCGGCUCAACCGUAAAAUUGCAGUUGAUACUGGAUGUCUUGAGUGCAGUUGAGGCAGGCGGAAUUCGUGGUGUAGCGGUGAAAUGCUUAGAUAUCACGAAGAACUCCGAUUGCGAAGGCAGCCUGCUAAGCUGCAACUGACAUUGAGGCUCGAAAGUGUGGGUAUCAAACAGGAUUAGAUACCCUGGUAGUCCACACGGUAAACGAUGACAUACUCGCUGUUUGCGAUAUACGGCAAGCGGCCAAGCGAAAGCGUUAAGUAUUCCACCUGGGGAG